GAUGAACGCUAGCUACAGGCUUAACACAUGCAAGUCGAGGGGCAUCAGGAAGAAAGCUUGCUUUCUUUGCUGGCGACCGGCGCACGGGUGAGUAACACGUAUCCAACCUGCCCUUUACUCGGGGAUAGCCUUUCGAAAGAAAGAUUAAUACCCGAUGGCAUAAUGAUUCCGCAUGGUUUCAUUAUUAAAGGAUUCCGGUAAAGGAUGGGGAUGCGUUCCAUUAGGUUGUUGGUGAGGUAACGGCUCACCAAGCCUUCGAUGGAUAGGGGUUCUGAGAGGAAGGUCCCCCACAUUGGAACUGAGACACGGUCCAAACUCCUACGGGAGGCAGCAGUGAGGAAUAUUGGUCAAUGGGCGCUAGCCUGAACCAGCCAAGUAGCGUGAAGGAUGAAGGCUCUAUGGGUCGUAAACUUCUUUUAUAUAAGAAUAAAGUGCAGUAUGUAUACUGUUUUGUAUGUAUUAUAUGAAUAAGGAUCGGCUAACUCCGUGCCAGCAGCCGCGGUAAUACGGAGGAUCCGAGCGUUAUCCGGAUUUAUUGGGUUUAAAGGGAGCGUAGGUGGACUGGUAAGUCAGUUGUGAAAGUUUGCGGCUCAACCGUAAAAUUGCAGUUGAUACUGUCAGUCUUGAGUACAGUAGAGGUGGGCGGAAUUCGUGGUGUAGCGGUGAAAUGCUUAGAUAUCACGAAGAACUCCGAUUGCGAAGGCAGCUCACUGGACUGCAACUGACACUGAUGCUCGAAAGUGUGGGUAUCAAACAGGAUUAGAUACCCUGGUAGUCCACACAGUAAACGAUGAAUACUCGCUGUUUGCGAUAUACAGUAAGCGGCCAAGCGAAAGCAUUAAGUAUUCCACCUGGGGAGUACGCCGGCAACGGUGAAACUCAAAGGAAUUGACGGGGGCCCGCACAAGCGGAGGAACAUGUGGUUUAAUUCGAUGAUACGCGAGGAACCUUACCCGGGCUUAAAUUGCAGUGGAGUGAUGUGGAAACAUGUCAGUGAGCAAUCACCGCUGUGAAGGUGCUGCAUGGUUGUCGUCAACUCGUGCCGUGAGGUGUCGGCUUAAGUGCCAUAACGAGCGCAACCCUUAUCUUCAGUUACUAACAGGUCAUGCUGAGGACUCUGGAGAGACUGCCGUCGUAAGAUGUGAGGAAGGUGGGGAUGACGUCAAAUCAGCACGGCCCUUACGUCCGGGGCUACACACGUGUUACAAUGGGGGGUACAGAAGGCAGCUAGCGGGUGACCGUAUGCUAAUCCCAAAAUCCUCUCUCAGUUCGGGUCGAAGUCUGCAACCCGACUUCGUGAAGCUGGAUUCGCUAGUAAUCGCGCAUCAGCCACGGCGCGGUGAAUACGUUCCCGGGCCU
rnacentral:rRNA from 1 species